UCGUUGUAGCAAUACGAUGGAAAGUUUAGUGGCGAACGGGUGCUUAACACGUGGGCAACCUGCCAGGAAGUGGGGGAUAGCUCGCCGAAAGGCGAAUUAAUACCGCAUGUGAUUAGAGAGGACAUCCUUUCAAAAUUAAAGUCGGGGCAACCUGACGCUUCUUGUGGGGCCCGCGGCCUAUCAGCUAGUUGGUGAGGUAACGGCCCACCAAGGCUUUGACGGGUAGCUGGUCUGAGAGGACGACCAGCCACACUGGGACUGAGACACGGCCCAGACACCUACGGGUGGCAGCAGUCGAGAAUUUUUGACAAUGGGGGAAACCCUGAUCGAGCGACGCCGCGUGGAGGAUGAAGGUCUUCGGAUUGUAAACUCCUGUCAUUGGGGAACAAUGCACAGAUAUUAACUGUAUUUGUGUUGAUAGUACCCGAAGAGGAAGAGACGGCUAACUCUGUGCCAGCAGCCGCGGUAAUACAGAGGUCUCAAGCGUUGUUCGGAUUCAUUGGGCGUAAAGGGUGCGUAGGCGGCGCGGUAAGUCGGGUGUGAAAUCUCGGAGCUUAACUCCGAAACUGCAUUCGAUACUGCCGUGCUUGAGGACUGGAGAGGAGACUGGAAUUCACGGUGUAGCA
rnacentral:rRNA from 1 species